CCUACAGGAGGCAGCAGUGAGGAAUAUUGGUCAAUGGGCGCGAGCCUGAACCAGCCAAGUAACGUGAAGGAUGACUGCCCUACGGGUUGUAACCUUCUUUUAUAAAGGAAUAAAGUGAGGCACGUGUGCCUUUUGUUAUGUACUUUAUGAAUAAGGAUCGGCUAACUCCGUGCCAGCAGCCGCGGUAAUACGGAGGAUCCGAGCGUUAUCCGGAUUUAGUGGGUUUAAAGGGAGCGGAGAUGGGUUGUUAAGUCAGUUGUGAAAGUUUGCGGCUCAACCGUAAAAUUGCAAUUGAUACUGGCAGUCUUGAGUACAGUUGAGGUAGGCGGAAUUCGUGGUGUAGCGGUGAAAUGCUUAGAUAUCACGAAGAACUCCGAUUGCGAAGGCAGCUUACGAAACUGCCACUGACAUUGAUGCUCGAAAGUGUGGGUAUCAAACAGGAUUAGAGACCCCAGGAGUC
rnacentral:rRNA from 1 species